CAUGAUCUAUCUGAUUGUAUAGCCCAUUGGAUAACCGUGGGAAAUCUAGAGCUAAUACAUGCGUUUAAUCGUACAGGUAGCUUGCGCUGCCUGUUGAAGCAUUUAUUAGAGCAACCAGCCACUGUGUGCAUGGGUAACUAAACAUACAGUGUGGGUGAAUCUAGAUAACUUGUCUGAUCGUAGUGGCCAUGAAGCCGGCGACAUUUCAGUUGAAAUCUCUGCCCUAUCAACUUGUUGGUAAGGUAGUGGCUUACCAAGGUUACAACGGGUAACGGGGAAUCAGGGUUCGAUUCCGGAGAGGGAGCCUGAGAAACGGCUACCACAUCCAAGGAAGGCAGCAGGCGCGCAAAUUACCCAAUCCAGACACUGGGAGGUAGUAACGAGAAUUACUGAGUAGUGGUCCGAAUGGGCUACUAGUUUGGAAUGAACGUGAUUUAGUACAUCCGAUGAGUAACAACUGGAGGGCAAGUCUGGUGCCAGCAGCCGCGGUAAUUCCAGCUCCAGUGGCGUACUUUAAAGUUGCUGCGUUUAAAACGCUCGUAGUUGGAUCACGCGAUGUCAGUCAGUGGAAUGGCGCAAUGUGCAAUAAACCCUCACCGGUUGAUGUGUCUACGUUCUACCGUGGACACAUUCAAUUGACGUGAGGAGUACAUUGUGUCUAUUGUAAGCUGAUUGACAUUACUUGCACGUGGGAAUGGUCAUUGACCUUAGUUGAGUUGACGAUUGUGUCUCACGGGGUGUGCCUUGAAUAAAUCAGAGUGCUUAAAGCAGGCUCUUGCCUGAAUGUUGAUAGCAUGGAACGAACAGUUGUGUUAACGUGCAAUGGUUGUAUUGGUAUCGCGAAGCUUUGAGCCUAGCGUGCUGGUCCCAUGCACAGCACCAACCACCAAUAUCGGAUGUUGGUUCCGUAUUGGGGUGAUGAUUAAGAGGAGCGGUUGGGGGCAUUGGUAUUUCGGACGCGAGGAGGUGAAAUUCUUGGACCGUUCCCAAGGACUAACAAAUGCGGAAGGCAUUUGCCCAAGACNGUAUCCAUUAAUCAAGAACGAAAGUGGAAGGUUCCAAGUCGAUUAGAUACCGCCGUAGUUUCCACUGUAAACUAUGCCAACUCGGGAUCAGUUUGGUGUUAUACCAACGCUCUAAGUUGGUCCCCCUGGGAAACCUUAAGUUUUUGGGUUACGGGGGGAGUAUGGUCGCAAGUCUGAAACUUAAAGGAAUUGACGGAAGGGCACCACCAGGGGUGGAGCCUGCGGCUUAAUUUGACUCAACACGGGGAAACUCACUUGGGCAAGAUGUCAAAAGGAUGGCCAGACUGAAGUUCUUGCCAGAUAUGACAAAAGGUGGUGCAUGGCCGUUCUUAGUUCGUGAAGUGAUUUGUCGGGUCGAUUCCGAUAACGGACGAGACUGCAUUCUCCAUUUGGUGAGCAAAAGAUAUUGCCACGUGUCACCGGUAACGGUGUAUGGGGUAAAAAUAGGCAGAUUGGGCGCGCAAUUGCUAGAGAUUUGGUUUGCANACUUGUUUUUGAGCUGAAUUGAAGGUGAUUGUGCUUAGCUUGUUCUCCCUUUUGUGAAGUAGUGUGUAAUCUCGUUAUUGCACAGUACACCAUGGAGAGACUGUUGGGUAUAUCCAAAGCCAAACGAAGCUGCGGCAAUAACAGG
rnacentral:rRNA from 1 species